rnacentral:rRNA from 1 species
GACGAACGCUGGCGGCGUGCCUAAUACAUGCAAGUCGACCUUAGUGGCGAACGGGUGAGUAACCCGUGGGUAACCUGCCCCUCAGAAGGGGAUAACCAUUGGAAACAGGUGCUAAUACCGCAUACUGAUGGUAGGACCCGCGGUGCAUUAGCUAGUUGGUGAGGUAACGGCUAACCACGGCCACGAUGCAUACCCGACCUGAGAGGGGGAUCGGCCACAUUGGUAUGGAGACACGGCCCAAACUCCUACGGGAGGCAGCAUGAGGGAAUCUUCGGCAAUGGACGAAAGUCUGACCGAGCAACGCCGCGUGAGUGAAGAAGGUUUUCGGAUCGUAAAACUCUGUUGUUAGAGAAGCGGUAUCUAACCAGAAAGCCACGGCUAACUACGUGCCAGCCGCCGCGGUAAUAC